UUGGCUUGCUAUAGCAAGUGGAGCAAGCUGGUAUCGUGAUUUAUCCACAAAACUGUGAAACCUCACAGAAAGUUGUGGUAAACCUCAAUGUCAAGUUUAGGGGCAAAAAUAAAGAGACAUACAUAUUUUCACAUUUAGUUUCAAGAAAGUAUAUGUAAGUAGACCAAACCUAAGGGCAGAUUAACUUCUAGAGCUUAGCAUAGUGUAAACUUAGGGAACAGAUAUCGUUGCAAACUAAAAGUACCCAAUAUAUUUUCUCUCUUAGCUUCUUCUAAUAGUUGAUCAUAUUACACAAAUUCUUCACGGAAAUAAAUCAAAACAAUUUUCAAAUUCCAUACCAGUAACUCCACAAAAUCUUUAGCAAAG
rnacentral:lncRNA from 1 species